AUUGAACGCUGGCGGCAUGCCUUACACAUGCAAGUCGAACGGCAGCACGGGUGCUUGCACCUGGUGGCGAGUGGCGAACGGGUGAGUAAUACAUCGGAACAUGUCCUGUAGUGGGGGAUAGCCCGGCGAAAGCCGGAUUAAUACCGCAUACGAUCUACGGAUGAAAGCGGGGGACCUUCGGGCCUCGCGCUAUAGGGGUGGCCGCUGGCUGAUUAGCUAGUUGGUGGGGUAAAGGCCUACCAAGGCGACGAUCAGUAGCUGGUCUGAGAGGACGACCAGCCACACUGGGACUGAGACACGGCCCAGACUCCUACGGGAGGCAGCAGUGGGGAAUUUUGGACAAUGGGCGAAAGCCUGAUCCAGCAAUGCCGCGUGUGUGAAGAAGGCCUUCGGGUUGUAAAGCACUUUUGUCCGGAAAGAAAUCCUUGGCCCUAAUACGGUCGGGGGAUGACGGUACCGGAAGAAUAAGCACCGGCUAACUACGUG
rnacentral:rRNA from 1 species